AUGGAUCAGAAGGGAAAGUCCAAUGUUGUUGAAGAGUUCGUGCAAACGGCAUCUGGUGGCGUCAGGACGUACAAGGACAAAGAGGCAUCGGAGCACGAUACUGCCAGCAGUCCUCUCGACGUGUUGCAAUCACAGUCAUGCUGCCGGACAUGCAAGAAUGACCGUGGGAAUUGCAGUAAUGAUGGAACAACAAAACGUUGUGUUGAAGUAACUCUGCGCCAGACAUUUUGUAAAAGUGUGAAUAUUACAUGUGACAUGAGAGAAGCCGUAAAUAGCAUCUCAGGAAAUAAAGUUGUCCUAUGUACCCCUGAAGGUUUUCACUAUAAGGUCAAUGUGACUAAAAGGAUUGAUGUCACGAGUAUUCAUGGUGCUAGAUGGAACGAGUUUCUAUUUGAUUACAAUCUAUUGGAGGGAGAUAAAGUUCUAGUUAUAGUUACAAUAUAUGGUUUGCUUGUUGCUGCCAUAAGUAAGGAAAAUGUUUUUAAAAUCAGGUCACCGACAGCAGUUGCACAGAGUGUUGAAGAUGAUGUCAAACGUAUUAUAGAUGAUGUUGUGAUGACGAGAGGUUGUCGUCUAUGGUGGAUGAAGAUGAUAAUUUGGUUCAAUUAA
rnacentral:rRNA from 1 species